UAGAGUUUGAUCCUGGCUCAGGACGAACGCUGGCGGCGUGCCUAAUACAUGCAAGUCGAGCGGAACCUUUGGAGCUUGCUCCAUUGGUUUAGCGGCGGACGGGUGAGUAACACGUGGGCAACCUGCCCUCCAGAUCGGGAUAACUCCGGGAAACCGGUGCUAAUACCGAAUAGUUUGCGGCCUCUCAUGAGGCUGUACGGAAAGACGGUUUCGGCUGUCACUGCAGGAUGGGCCCGCGGCGCAUUAGCUAGUUGGUGAGGUAACGGCUCACCAAGGCCACGAUGCGUAGCCGACCUGAGAGGGUGAUCGGCCACACUGGGACUGAGACACGGCCCAGACUCCUACGGGAGGCAGCAGUAGGGAAUCUUCCGCAAUGGACGAAAGUCUGACGGAGCAACGCCGCGUGAGUGAAGAAGGUUUUCGGAUCGUAAAACUCUGUUGUGAGGGAAGAACAAGUACCAACUAACUACUGUACCUUGACGUACCUCACCAGAAAGCC
rnacentral:rRNA from 1 species